AAAGAAACCAACAGGGAUUGCCUCAGUAACGGCGAGUGAAGCGGCAACAGCUCAAAUUUGAAAUCUGGCCCCAGGCCCGAGUUGUAAUUUGCAGAGGAUGCUUUUGGCGAGGUGCCUUCCGAGUUCCCUGGAACGGGACGCCAUAGAGGGUGAGAGCCCCGUCUGGUCGGACACCGAGCCUCUGUAAAGCUCCUUCGACGAGUCGAGUAGUUUGGGAAUGCUGCUCUAAAUGGGAGGUAUAUGUCUUCUAAAGCUAAAUACCGGCCAGAGACCGAUAGCGCACAAGUAGAGUGAUCGAAAGAUGAAAAGCACUUUGAAAAGAGAGUUAAAUAGCACGUGAAAUUGUUGAAAGGGAAGCGUUUAUGACCAGACUUGGCCCGGUUGAUCAUCCAGCGUUCUCGCUGGUGCACUCUGCCGGUCCAGGCCAGCAUCAGUUCGUCGCGGGGGAUAAAGGUUUCGGGAAUGUGGCUCCUCCGGGAGUGUUAUAGCCCGUUGCGUAAUACCCUGCGGUGGACUGAGGUCCGCGCUUCUGCAAGGAUGCUGGCGUAAUGGUCAUCAACGACCCGUCUUGAAACACGGACCAAGGAGUCGUCUUCGUAUGCGAGUGUUCGGGUGUAAAACCCCUACGCGUAAUGAAAGUGAACGCAGGUGAGAGCUUCGGCGCAUCAUCGACCGAUCCUGAUGUUCUCGGAUGGAUUUGAGUAAGAGCAUACGGGGCCGGACCCGAAAGAAGGUGAACUAUGCCUGUAUAGGGUGAAGCCAGAGGAAACUCUGGUGGAGGCUCGCAGCGGUUCUGACGUGCAAAUCGAUCGUCAAAUAUGGGCAUGGGGGCGAAAGACUAAUCGAACCUUCUAGUAGCUGGUUUCCGCCGAAGUUUCCCUCAGGAUAGCAGUGUUGAACUCAGUUUUAUGAGGUAAAGCGAAUGAUUAGGGACUCGGGGGCGCUAUUUAGCCUUCAUCCAUUCUCAAACUUUAAAUAUGUAAGAAGCCCUUGUUGCUUAAUUGAACGUGGGCAUUCGAAUGUAUCAAC
rnacentral:rRNA from 1 species